rnacentral:rRNA from 1 species
CACGUAGGCACCAAGCGUUGUCCGGAUUUAUUGGGCGUAAAGAGCUCGUAGGCGGUUCGGUAAGUCGGGUGUGAAAAACUCUGGGCUCAACCCCAGAGCCGCCACCUGAUACUGCUGUGACUAGAGUGCGGUAGAGGAGCGGGGAAUUCCUGGUGUAGCGGUGAAAUGCGCAGAUAUCAGGAGGAACACCAGUGGCGAAGGCGGGUCUCUGGACAGUUCCUGACGCUGAGGCACGAAGGUCAGGGGAGCAAACGGG